CACUGAAGCUUAUACUGCGUGGCUGCAACAAAAACAAGUGCAAAUUCCCUGAGAACUAAUUUAGUACAUACACAACAUAUGAUAGACUUGGUGACUAUUCCCCCUUCCUUGCAUGUUGUUAGUACAUCAGUUUAAGAAUUGCACCAACAUGCACUGUGAAAAGCAACAACCAAUAAAGAUAUACCAAAAAAAGAUUCAAAAGCAAAUUACUAUUGCUCACAUAAGAAUCAACAAAGUAUAUUUUCCAUUGAACUUUAUCAUAUAGUUGAAACUGGUCAAGAAAAUUCUUGUAUCAAACAAAGAAAAUGAAUCUACACAUUUAUACUUCCUGGGAUGUUAAUGAAAUAGGUCAAUCACUGGUACAAGAUCUCUUUAAUCAGGAUUGUUCAGUAAUCCAGCUUCUUGUUAUGAUAGCAAUUUGAUUAUGGCCAGCAACUUUAAUUAACUGAGGAUCUUACAUUACUUGACUAACAAUUAAAAACGUGCAGACUGCAAAAGCACUUAAGGAACAUUCAAAUAGAAUGCAUAUAAGAAACAAAGCAGUGCAUCUUGAUAUCCAAACGUCCUAAGGAAUAAUUUUAGACAUGGUCAUGAAAGGAAAAGGCUGCCUUCAAUGCAAACCUUCACACAAAUUAACAGGUGUAUUUU
rnacentral:misc_RNA from 1 species